AAAGAUCGCAGCCUUCGGCAGCUCCUACAGGGGAUCGUGUUUCUCUGUAGGAGCUGCCGAAGGCUGCGAUCUUU
rnacentral:ncRNA from 2 species